CCCUGGCACCUCCAUGCUGUGCUUCCCAAGGACUCACUCGGAGUUCAUCACAUCCCGAGCUCGCAGUCUGAGAGCAAACUUCUCCAUGGUUCUUUGCAGCAGCCCCAGGCAGCUUCCUGCAAGCUAAGCUGCGCCCUCCCCAAAUGUUUCUGCUCCAUGUCACAGCUCUGAAGCAAUAAUUGAGAAUAAGGGGAAAAAAAAACUGUUUCACCUUGAUAGGAUUUCAAGGUGCUUUUAAAGGACAAGGCCCAAACAUGUAUUUAAGAGUGCAUACAUUCGCACACAGACACUGAGGUCGGUUCCCUACACACAAGGACAGCCAGGUUCAGGGGAGCAUCCCUUUAGAGGCCAAUUUCUGCACUCUGUCACAAAUAUUUCCAUUUUAAUAAUCUCCGAAGUAAUCAUUUCUCAAAUCCCAUUUUCUCCUUAAUGCUUGUUCCUACUUUUUUUUUUUUUUCUGCAGUUCACUCCAUAAAACGUAACUACUCAAUUUCCCAUUGCUUUCCUGCAGCUUCUCUCCUCUCCCACCCUUUGGCCCGCGAUGCCGCAGUCUCAGCUCAAGGACAGGUCGCUUUUCCCUGUGUUUUCUAGACUCAGCCCCAGAAAUUUGUGGGCACAACCCCUUAAGGAUGCACACAUCAUUACGGGAGGUGCACAGCAGGAAGGGCUCAGUGCUCUCUGACACCAAAUCCCUCCUGCAGGGAGCAGGGCGGAUGCUGCAGCACCCAACGCACGGACCUCGCAAGGCGCUGCUGCGUGGCCAGGAGCAUAAUUACGGCUGUAGAGGACUUUUACUGCUGUAAUUGUUUCUGCGUGGCCUGGGAGGAGAUGGGUUGUGCUGAGAGGAAAGAAGAGAUUUUGCUGAAGCGUGAAAAGCAAAGCCAUUUAGUUAGGUAAUAGCUCCGAAGCUUCAGGGGUCAGCAGACUGAGAACUCCAGGAAAAUGCUUUUCAGGGCAGGACAGCCUGAAGACAAAGAAAAAGGAGAAAGAUAUCGAAACAGCGCAUUGUUAAAUGGCCUCUUCACCCCCACCCGGUUUGCUCCUUUCCAGCCUCAAAAUAGGAACCGGGGAGGAGAAUUAGCAGCAGCACCGCAGCAGUCAUCGGGAAGGAAAAAUAAAGGGGAACGACAGUGAGGACAGAGAGCUCCGACGAACUGCAAGGAGCUGCCAGCAAGGCUGCAAAUUCCAGCCCCAAAGAAAGGAAUCGCUGAACAUUCAGCACAGCUCGCCUGGAGGAAUGCGAAACACACGAGGAAAUCUCUCCCUGCUGCCUCCCAUCGCACCCUACCCGGAAUGCGAGAAGAAAAGUCAUCGGAGUGAUCGGAGCAGAAUCAGAACAAGCACUUAGUGGUCUUUAAGGACCCAUAAAACACUUCAGUAGUUUGCUGUUUUAUAUCUGACUAUCUUCUACAUUAGCCAUUUAAAUUAAAACAUUUAUAAUU